CUCCGGCCUGGUCUUGUGUCCGGUGGCCCGGGGCGACGCACUUCCUCAGCUUCACGGUAAUGCAGAGAUAAGAGACGAAGACGGCGGACAGCGGCAGGACGUACGUGACCACCAAGUACGUGUGGCGGACCGCCGGAGCAACCAGCCCGCAGGACAGCAGCCAGAUGCCGGUGAGGACGGAGGCGCAGGUGGCCACGGAGAUGCGCUUCUUCAUGAGGUGAACGGUGGCGUAAUACCUGCAAUAAAGACAGAGCGGCGCUUUAUAAUGAUUAGAAAGAUAUUAAUGCACGUAUAGUCACGAGCCAAUGUAUGAAUUAGUGUGUGUUUUAUAAGGAACAGGAGAUCAAUUCAAGUUAAAUUAGUUAAUUAGCUCUAAACGUCCCUGCACAUAAUCUCAGAGCAGUCCAUUUCAUUUACCUUUUCAAAAGAAAAACUACGAUAAUAAUAAUAAUAUUAAUAUUAAUAAUAGUGAUAUUGAUAGAAACCUGUAUUUAUAUAGCAUCACUCUAUGUGGAGGAUAUUAGCACAAUGCAGUCUACAUCAAGAAAACCCAAAACAAUUACAAAGACAGAGCUUUAAAUUUGACCCAAACAGAACAAUAAGAAAGAGGAAAAUAAUUAACAUGUUAAUCUAUUAAGAGUGAUCAGAGGUGUAUAUGAUAAUACGGCAGUAAAAAGCUGGUGCUUAGAAGCCUCCAUUGAUGUGGCUGUUCUCAGCUCAGCUGAAAGGGGAGACAUGAACAAUUUGAGGGCAGAAAUGGAGAAGGGAGCUUUUCUGUAGCCGUUUGAAUUUGUAUAACAGUGAGCAGCAGAGAGGAGAGGGAUCUCAGGGGUCUAACGGGGGACAAGUCUCUGCAGCACAUUGUUCUGCAUGUCCGUGCACAAAGUGUAAAGCUGGAUAAUUGGAUUUUGGUCUGUGCCCAUCAGUCGCACACUGCUGCAAGCAGCCCAAGUGUUUUGCAUGUGUUCGUUCAUAAAUUCACAAAUGAUGUACAAAAUAAAUGAGAGUUUGAUAUAAUUAAUUUAUAAUGUUUACCUAAUUUACCAACUCUAUAUAUGAGCUAACAAAAAACGAAUUAUUAAUAUAUAAUAAACCAGAGGAGUCUUAGUUACAUCAUGUAUUAUAGCAUACUCUGAAUCACAAUAAUAAGUCCUAAUAAUAAUAAUAACUCCUAUUUUAGUAAUACGCAUAAGUCAUGAAAUGUUCAUGCUAAAGUGGUGCUAUUAAAAGUGCAAUCUUUCUGCACAGCUCCAUAAUUCCUAAGUGCGUAUAAAUGGAAAUUGAUGACAGAUAAUUGUUGAAUUUCCUCAUUGUCUAAUUUCUGGCUUGUGGAGAGAAAGAAAACCAAAGGACGUUUAAAGAUAAUUCAAAAGGUCCUUUUGUGAUGUUAGUGGAGUCAUUCUUGCAGCGCAGAGAGAUCCACCCACCUGUCCACGGCGAUAGCAGUGAGUGUGAAGACUGAAACGUAGACGGUGACCGGUUGGAUGAGGAACACCAGAUAGCACAUCGGGCGGCCAAAAGCCCAACCGUGUGGGUUGAAGGCGUAGGCGAGCGUGAAAGGGACGCAGGUCACACACAUGAGCAUGUCAGAGAAGGCCAGGUUGCCGAUGAAGAAGUUGGUGACAUUGUGCAUUUUGCGGGUUCGACAAAUGACAUAGAGGAGCAGGUAAUUCCCAAAGACGCCCACCACCACAACGAGCACGUAACAGGGGAUGAUGAGAGGCUUGAACAUCUGCAGCAGAGCCACGUCUGCAAACUGGGAGGUGCGGUUGGCGGAGCUGUUGUCCACCUCAUCAAUGUGUCCGUCGGUCUGUUCCCCCGACACGGAGCCGCUGUGAUUACCCUCCAUGGAGGCAAAGCUCAGUCUGCCAGUGUCUGCCCUGUCCAAAAGACAAUCACUUGCAAAACAUUAGCAACUUCUACAAAUGUCAAGUCUGUGUAUAUUCAAUCCAAGGAUGCGUGAAAAAAAAGGUAAAUGUAAUUGUGAACCACAUUCUGUUCAUGACAUUUACUAAAUGGAAGGCCAUUAUUGGAUAGUCAUGCUUUUACCAACACAUUCUCACAGAGGCGAAGACCACGCUAUUAAAGGGUGUAUAAUCACGAAGGCAUUUAAAUGCACAACAUUAUGCAUCCUCCACUGAAAUGUACAUAUGUCAAAUGUCUGCACGUAGAGGUAAUGUGGUCACGUUAGUCUGAUUACAGACCAGUGUUUAAUAUUUUUCAGCAUCAGUGGAUUUGUUCAACGUAACUGGGGAGCUGAAUUUUGAUGCAUUUUCUUAAACAAUAAAAAACGAUUGUGUUA